GAGCGAAAGCCUAAAACUCAAAAGACUUGACGGUGUCCUAAUCUACCUAGAGGAGCCUGUUCCAUAAUCGAUAACCCACGAUAAACCCAACCACCCUUUGAAAUUUUCAGCCUAUAUACCGCCGUCGACAGCCCACCUUAUAAAAGAACAAAAGUAGGCCAAAUAGGACUCACCCCUAAAAAGUCAGGUCAAGGUGUAGCUAAUAAGGUGGAGACAAUGGGCUACAUUUUCUAUAAUAGAACACACGAACUAGUUUAUUAAACAAAACUACGAAGGCGGAUUUAGCAGUAAGCU
rnacentral:rRNA from 1 species